rnacentral:lncRNA from 1 species
CCACCAGGCACAUGGUAGCAGUCAUCCAUGUAGUAGUGAAUGUCAUUUGAUGAGCGAUCACCACCUAUCCUAAAUGCCCUGGAAGUGCAAGGCAGGGAGACCAAGCUGGUUUUGGAAGUGGCCCAGCAUUUAGGUGAGAGCACAGUAGGAACCAUUGCUAUGGGUGGGACAGAAGGCUUGGUUAGAGGUCAGAAAGCCUUAGAUUCUAGUGCACCAAUCAAAAUUCCUGUUGGUCCUGAGAUCUUGGGCAGAUCCAUGAAUGUCAUUGGAGAACCUAUUAAUGAGAGUUUCUAUUAAAACCAAACAAUUUGCUCCUAUUCAUGCUGAGGCUCCUGAGUUCAUUGAGAUAAAUGUUGAGCAGGAAAUUCUGGUGACUGGUAUCAAGGUUGUGGAUCUGCUAACUCCCUGUGCCAAGGGUAGCAAAAUUGGGCUCUUUGAUGGUGCUGAAUGGAGUUGGCAAGACAGCGCUGAUCAUGGAGUUGGUUAACACUGUUGCCAAAGCCCAUGGUGGUUACUCUGUAUUUACUGGUGUUGGUGAGAAGACCCAUGACUUACACCAUGAAAUGAUUG